GGGUGGCACCGCGACAGUCGCGUCCCGGGGGCCUCGUCCUCGCCACCUCCCCGCUGCGGGCCGGGGCACUCGGGGCUUCCUGCCCUCAGAACUGUGCCCUGGGUGUGCACGUGGGGCCGAGGGUCCCCUGGCCUGGGCGAGGGUGCAGGGACCCGAAACUGGGUGACUCUUCCCGGUCCCGGUGUGGCUGUCCUGUAACCAUGACGACUGCGGGCUUUGGCACGUGGAUGUGGAUGCAGAGCCUGAAGGCAGGGAUUGGGCAGGUGGUGCAGGGUGAGGGGCCCCUGGGGACGGACCUGCUGGGAGCUGCAGCUGCCCCGAGCUGGGCUCCCUGUGCGUGGUGACAGGGCCUUUGCAGCUGGGGACCAGGUGAUGGACGGUCAGGGGCGGGGAGGGGCCUUGUCCGUGGGCAGGGAGCACAGGAAGUCGAUGUGGGCGAGAUAGGAAGAGCUGAGAGGCCGCAGAGGCGUUAAAUGGCUCCGACUGACUGGGCGGCCACACUCGGAUGGAAUUUACCCAUUUAGGAAGUUUCCCACUUCAGGACAGGACGUUUGUCGAACACCUGUUGUGUCCCAUGUGCUUUGUACAGUAGCAGGAUUAAUAAUCCUUGCAAUGGCCCCCACAUGUUAUUACUCUCUUCUUGAUGCAAGAGGGAGCACCCAAGGUUUACAGUGUGUUGUCCCACUUUGGCUUUCUGUUCUAAACAGUUACAGCUCCGGAAACUCAUGUUGAUAGCUAGAUGGACUAAGCAGCCACCCUCAUUCUAAAGCUGAGGAUAGAGGGUCUGAGGUGUGGACUGCGGAGACCCUGGGUAGCAGAGUUCUGCCUGCAGGGGGUCUCUGUCGGCCACCUCAGAAAACAGCUCCCACCGAGGUGAAGACCUUUCCAGCUCCGGGGUGUGGCUGUCCCCCGAAUGGAGCGUCUCUGUGCAGGGCACGCAAGGCCUCGGGGCAUGUGGAGUCCCCGGAACUGGAACGUGUGGGCAGCGUGGGUGACCUGUGCUUGCACAGGCCUCGUUGUGUCUGUCACCUGUUGGAUCACAGGCGCUCCGACCAGGUCUGCACACCAGGAAGCAAAGGAACAUGGCUCAUUCCCAGGGAAUCCAGGAGCGUGCAGAGACUCCUGAAGAAGAGCAUGUUGAAUGCAUGUGCUUUCAGUAGACGAUGUGUCGGUAUCAGCAAGGCCAAAUGUCUCACAAAUGUUUCCCGUCACCAGACAAACCGUGGCCUGCGCCUGAGGACACACGUGGGUCUGCAGCUGCUGCGCUGUCCGCGUGCGGCGGUGUGCGAUGACCUUUCCUUCCCCGGGAGCCCUCCGUGACCCCUCCACCCCACGAAGCUCCUUCGCCCCUCACCUCCAAUCGCUGCAUGUCCACCCAGGCGAGGCUGCCUGGAGCGACACUUGCCACCUGCAUCCUCCCUGUGAAAGCUCUGUCUCCCAGGCACCGAGGCCCAGGCCUGCUCCCUCCUGCCCGCGAGGCUGUAUCUGGAGGAAAAGGCCGAACGCUGUCAUCUCGGUCUCUGUCUCCGUAUUCCCCGCACGUAUGGCCACGACCCUUUCUGGCUGCAGACGCUCCCCACUGCUGUCUAAGCCCUGCUUAUGCCCUAAAUGAGAAGCGGACCUCUCAGAGCCCAGCACUCCACUCCUCGUGCUCCUCCCAGCGGCCCCGAGGCAGGGGCGGAUUCCAGUCACAACCAAACCUCAGCGUCUGCUUCCAGUGGCUGCGACUUCACACAACGUUUUGCCGCUCCAUUCUGUGCGAAGGAAACCCCAUUUCCACAAUCCCCUACUCAGAAUUCUAUGCUAAGAUUUUAAAUUUGAGAACAAUUGAGCAGUCAGUUUUCUAACUCAGUCAGCUUUGGUACACUCAUGUUGAGGUGACACUUUUGUGCCUUCAGCACUUGUGCCUUUUACACAAGUAACAAACCCCAGUGCCUGAUGCCACUGACAUCUAGUGAAUUAACACCAGUAUCCUGAUUUUUUCCAUGACAUAAGAACAGGUAUUGGUUGUUGAAGCUUGAUAAGUUAGGACACAGAAUGCGGAUUUUAUUCCAUAGGAGAUGGGAACCGCCGGAAGACUGCAGCUGCACAGUAACUAAGGAGGGACUCAGUGCGUCAGGAAGGUGGCCUAGGGAUCGUUUUCAAGGAGAGCAACUAAGGAAGCCUAGGCGUAAGUGUGCUAAGGGCCGGGCUGCUGCAGCACUGAUGAGGACAGAAAAGGAGACUGGAGAAUUAGAAGGAAGAAUUCCCCAGAAGGUUAUGUCAUAUUUGCCUGCUGUUGAUUUGCCAUUUUCCCUGCUGCACAUUUGAAGGGUCCUUGCUCUCACGGAAACUUCGACCUCAGCCCGACAUGGGCUGUCUUACCUUUCUGGCAGAACCUGGUGCGUACAUCUGAACUGCACACCCUCACUGACCUCAGACUUCUCACUGCCUGUCCAUGGCUUCUGAAAUCCAUCGUGGAGCACGCAGCACCUCCCGCAGUGUCAGGUCUCGGGUCAUGCUGGCCUCCACAGGAUGGGGAGGUCCCCUCGUCCUUCCUGCUGGAGGAAGAUAGCUAUUUCAGGGAGGCAGAGUCUGUGCAGACUCCGACUUCCAGACUCAUGCCAUGGAACCAGGAAGGGAAGCCAUGCCUCUGCGUACUCAGUGUAAGCGUGGAAGAGUGGACAGAUAUCUGUUGCUACUCAUCUCUAACAUUUGGUGAGGCAUUGCUCGGGCUACUCAUCCUGAGUGGAAUUCCUUCCCCUUCUUUCCUUAGCAGUUUGGUAUCCUGAUUUUCAGAAACCAGUUCAGACUUCAUCUCUGCCAGAUACCAAUCCAGAAGACGUAAAUCCCGAACCUAUAGUCACACAUCUCUCACCUUCACGAAGACAGUUUAGUUUAAAUUAUUUUCUGUGGCAAAUUCAUCUCCUCAGAAAGCCUGGAGCAGACGCUGAGGUCCAGGUCUCCCCUCCUUUCUCCUCGAAGCCCUUCAUAGCAAUCGUUACUGCUGCUAAUGAAAUAGCAAAUCUAAGGAGAGCUUUGGGAGCUGAGAUUAGGAUCCUGAGGCAUAUGUAGAGCUAGAAAUAGCACUUUGUGUACAUAAGUAAUGGCGUGGCUUCUCAGGCACUUUUUCCUCAGUGUUGGUCAUGCAUAAUCAGCGGUGGUGGGACAAUUAUCUCUUUCUCAGACAAAAACAUCUAAAUAUGCCUUUAAGGUAUCAAUAGUGUUUUAGUUUUUUAAAAUGUGUUAUGACAAUGAUGAAUUUUUUAUCAUCAUACUAGUAAGCUAAUGAGCUAUGAAAAUUCUCCAAGCACUCUAUUUUGCCUCUUUGUUACCAGUUUAUAUAUGCUUUAGAUUAUCUGCAUUCAAAAGGCCAUCUCCUAAGGGCCAAAUCUACUGCAUGAAAGUAGCAUACCGCAGUUCAGAAAGCAGAAUUCCGAAGCUCAGUGUCACAGCCUGCCUGCACCGAACAUCCACACGCAACUCUGGAAUGCCUCCAGCAGUGCAUGUUUUGUUAAAACUUGUUUAACAGAACUGGUAACAGAGGGUUUUUUGUUUGCUUCUUUGUUCAUUUUGUUUAAUUCUAGUAGUGGAAACAAUUGGUGUGUAGCCCUGACCAGCUGAUCUCAGGAUACCUAUUUGGAAAUCCCUCUGAUUGGGAAAAUAGUAAUAAUAAAAUAUGUUUUGUCUAGUUUGCCUCAUGGACUCAUGGCAUUACAGAACAACACAAACAAAAAGGCCCAGAGAAGCUCUAGUCCAAACUGUUAAUUUUAUGGAGAGGGCUGGGUGUGAGUGAUGU
rnacentral:lncRNA from 1 species